rnacentral:rRNA from 1 species
AAAUGAAUAGACGGGGGCCCGCACAAGCAGUGGAGUAUGUGGUUUAAUUCGACGCAACGCGAAGAACCUUACCAAGGCUUGACAUCCUACUGACGAAGUAGAGAUACAUUAGGUGCCCUUCGGGGAAAGUAGAGACAGGUGGUGCAUGGUUGUCGUCAGCUCGUGUCGUGAGAUGUUGGGUUAAGUCCCGCAACGAGCGCAACCCUUGCCGUUAGUUGCUACAUUAAGUUGAGCACUCUGGCGGGACUGCCGUUGAUAAAACGGAGGAAGGUGGGGACGAUGUCAAAUCAUCAUGCCCUUUAUGUCUUGGGCUACACACGUACUACAAUGGCGGUUAACAACGGGAAGCAAAAUAGUGAUAUGGAGCAAAUCCCCAAAAACCGCCUCAGUUCAGAUUGCAGGCUGCAACCCGCCUGCAUGAAGUCGGAAUUGCUAGUAAUCGCAAAUCAGCAUGUUGCGGUGAAUACGUUCCCGGGCCUUGUACACACCGCCCGU